GACGAACGCUGGCGGCGUGCUUAACACAUGCAAGUCGAACGGAAAGGCCUGCUUUCCCUUGUGGAUUGCGGGUACUCGAGUGGCGAACGGGUGAGUAACACGUGAGUGAUCUGCCCCCAACUUGGGUAUAAGCCUGGGAAACUGGGUCUAAUUCCCGAUAGGACUGCAGGGUGGUGCCUGUGGUGGAAAACGAUUUUCUAGUGGUUGGGGAUGAGCUCGCGGCGUAUCAGCUUGUUGGUGGGGUAAUGGCCUACCAAGGCGGCGACGGGUAGCCGGCCUGAGAGGGUGGACGGCCACAUUGGGACUGAGAUACGGCCCAGACUCCUACGGGAGGCAGCAGUGGGUAAUAUUGGACAAUGGGCGGAAGCCUGAUGCAGCGACGCCGCGUGGGGGAUGACGGCCUUCGGGUUGUAAACUCCUUUCGACCGAGAGGAAGCCACCUGGUUGGAAGGGUGGUGACGGUAGUGGUAGAAGAAGCACCGGCUAACUACGUG
rnacentral:rRNA from 1 species